rnacentral:rRNA from 1 species
AACGAACGCUGGCGGCAUGCCUAACACAUGCAAGUCGAACGAGACCUUCGGGUCUAGUGGCGAACGGGUGAGUAACGCGUGGGAACCUGCCCUUAGGUUCGGAAUAACUCCCCGAAAGGGGUGCUAAUACCGGAUAAUGUCUUCGGACCAAAGAUUUAUCGCCUUUGGAUGGGCCCGCGUUGGAUUAGCUAGUUGGUAGGGUAAAAGCCUACCAAGGCGACGAUCCAUAGCUGGUCUGAGAGGAUGAUCAGCCACACUGGGACUGAGACACGGCCCAGACUCCUACGGGAGGCAGCAGUGGGGAAUAUUGGACAAUGGGCGAAAGCCUGAUCCAGCAAUGCCGCGUGAGUGAUGAAGGCCUUAGGGUUGUAAAGCUCUUUUACCCGGGAUGAUAAUGACAGUACCGGGAGAAUAAGCUCCGGCUAACUCCGUG